UUGAUCAUGGUUGUUAAUGUUGCAGCGGUGAAAAUGGUGUUGAACCUUUAGCUGGAGCUAAUAAUGCACAACCCAUCAUUAUGAAGUGGCUGGAGAACUUAGAGAAAAUGCUUAUUAAUCUGUUGGUAAUCAAUAUGAAUCAGUAAAUAAUCCAUCAACAAGUGAUGAAAAUAAACCAUCAACAAGUAAAGCACCACCACCUGUUUAUGCCUCGAUCGAUAGAGAAAAUAGAGAAGGAAAUCUGUUAUACUCCUACCUUGACUUUAAAGAUGAACCUAAAAGAAAGCCAGACAAAAAUCGUCCUGCACCAACUGAAUAUACCAGCAUUGAUAUGAGUAAACUGGCACCUGUCGAGAAGAAAGACGACAAGAAAGGUGGUGACAAAAAAGGCGAUGAAAAGAAGGAAUAAACUGGCGAUCGUCGUUAAUAAAACAAGAGUACGUAGAGACUGUUACUACAUUUAUAAAGUUCUAUUUUGUUCUU